rnacentral:rRNA from 1 species
UUUAUUGGAGAGUUUGAUCCUGGCUCAGGAUGAACGCUGGCGGCGUGCCUAAUACAUGCAAGUCGAGCGAAUGGAUUGAGAGCUUGCUCUCAAGAAGUUAGCGGCGGACGGGUGAGUAACACGUGGGUAACCUGCCCAUAAGACUGGGAUAACUCCGGGAAACCGGGGCUAAUACCGGAUAACAUUUUGAACUGCAUGGUUCGAAAUUGAAAGGCGGCUUCGGCUGUCACUUAUGGAUGGACCCGCGUCGCAUUAGCUAGUUGGUGAGGUAACGG